rnacentral:sRNA from 1 species
CCACUAAACUCCUAGACCAAGGGCUUUUUUGAAAAUAGCUGUGACCAGGUGUAGUGGCUCACACCUGUAAUCCCAGCACUUUGGGAGGGUGAGGAGGGCAGAUUGCUUGAGCUCAGGAGUUUGAAACCAGCCUGGGCAACGUGGUGAAACCUCAUCUCUACAAAAAGACAAAACAAUUAGCCAGGCGCAGUGGCGUGUGCCUGUAGUCCCAGCUACUUGGGAGGCUGAGGUGGGAGCAUGGCUUUAGCCCAGGAGGCGGAGGUUGCAGUGAGCCGAGAUCAUGCCACCGCACUCCAGCCUUGGUGACAGAGCCAGACCGUGUCUCAAAAAAGAAAAAGAAAAGAAAAUCUGUGCAGAAAUGGGGGUGGGGAAUCAGCCAACUCCCUUAUGCUGGGUCUCAGGGACACCCAAUACAGCUGCUCAGGCCCAGCCAGAUGGCAAAGGGCCCUCAACCAACCCUGGGACCAGAAUCACAAAAAGCCACCUACUUACUGGCUCCCGAGCCCAAGCUUAACAGGUGAAAUGGACCACUCUUCACCAGGAAGGGCAGGGCUGUGCCAAGCUCACCCCAGACUUCUAGGCCUGGGAGGGUAGGGUCCCAUGGAGCUGUGGGCUGCCCCCUACCCAACCUGACCUCUGCUUCCUCUCUUCCCUUCUCCCCACCUAAACAUUCCUCCACAGUGGCAAUAGCAAAGGAAAAGACAUCAACACGAUUAAAUCCCUCCGAGUCCUCCGGGUGCUACGACCUCUUAAAACCAUCAAGCGGCUGCCAAAGCUCAAGGCUGUGUUUGACUGUGUGGUGAACUCACUUAAAAACGUCUUCAACAUCCUCAUCGUCUACAUGCUAUUCAUGUUCAUCUUCGCCGUGGUGGCUGUGCAGCUCUUCAAGGGGAAAUUCUUCCACUGCACUGACGAGUCCAAAGAGUUUGAGAAAGAUUGUCGAGGCAAAUACCUCCUCUACGAGAAGAAUGAGGUGAAGGCGCGAGAUCGGGAGUGGAAGAAGUAUGAAUUCCAUUACGACAAUGUGCUGUGGGCUCUGCUGACCCUCUUCACCGUGUCCACGGGAGAAGGCUGGCCACAGGUCCUCAAGCAUUCGGUGGACGCCACCUUUGAGAACCAGGGCCCCAGCCCCGGGUACCGCAUGGAGAUGUCCAUUUUCUACGUCGUCUACUUUGUGGUGUUCCCCUUCUUCUUUGUCAAUAUCUUUGUGGCCUUGAUCAUCAUCACCUUCCAGGAGCAAGGGGACAAGAUGAUGGAGGAAUACAGCCUGGAGAAAAAUGAGAGGGCCUGCAUUGAUUUCGCCAUCAGCGCCAAGCCGCUGACCCGACACAUGCCGCAGAACAAGCAGAGCUUCCAGUACCGCAUGUGGCAGUUCGUGGUGUCUCCGCCUUUCGAGUACACGAUCAUGGCCAUGAUCGCCCUCAACACCAUCGUGCUUAUGAUGAAGUUCUAUGGGGCUUCAGUUGCUUAUGAAAAUGCCCUGAGGGUGUUCAACAUCGUCUUCACCUCCCUCUUCUCUCUGGAAUGUGUGCUGAAAGUCAUGGCUUUUGGGAUUCUGGUAAGUACCACCUUGGGGCUACAGCUAUGGGCUUGGGAGAAGCCCAAGGGGGAACAAUGGGUCCUGGAUGAUGGUCUCCCAACGUGGCCCCAAGAACCCCAACCUCAAGGGUGGCUUCAGUAUCCUGCCAGUGGCCACAGAUCCUACUUAGGCAUUCUUGUGUUUGCCAAGGAGUCCCAGGGAGACCCAACCUGUGAGUGUUACCAUAUGGCUGCUUAUGUAUCCAGUUCCUCAAAAUGAUGGGAGUCAUCAUGGCUGGGAGUCUUUAGCAUCCAUUUUAGAGAUAAGAAAACUGAAAUCAGGCUGGGCGAGGUGUCUCGUGGCUGUAAUUCCAGCACUUUGGGAGGCCAAGGUGGGCGGAUCACCUGAGGUCGGGAGUUCGAGACCAGCCUGACCAACAUGGAGAAACUCUGUCUCUACUAAA